rnacentral:rRNA from 1 species
UGGGGAAUAUUGCACAAUGGGGGAAACCCUGAUGCAGCCAUGCCGCGUGUAUGAAGAAGGCCUUCGGGUUGUAAAGUACUUUCAGUAGGGAGGAAGGCAGUGUCGUUAAUAGCGGCAUUGUUUGACGUUACCUACAGAAGAAGCACCGGCUAACUCCGUGCCAGCAGCCGCGGUAAUACGGAGGGUGCGAGCGUUAAUCGGAAUUACUGGGCGUAAAGCGCAUGCAGGCGGUCUGUUAAGCAAGAUGUGAAAGCCCGGGGCUCAACCUCGGAACAGCAUUUUGAACUGGCAGACUAGAGUCUUGUAGAGGGGGGUAGAAUUUCAGGUGUAGCGGUGAAAUGCGUAGAGAUCUGAAGGAAUACCGGUGGCGAAGGCGGCCCCCUGGACAAAGACUGACGCUCAGAUGCGAAAGCGUGGGGAGCAAACAGG